rnacentral:rRNA from 1 species
GACGAACGCUGGCGGCGCGCUUAACACAUGCAAGUCGAGCGAAGCGGCGGCCGGUUGAGUAACACGUGAGUAACCCGCCUUAGACAUUGGGAUAGCCUCGGGAAACCGGGAUUAAUACCCAAUGGUCUAAGAUGGACUCGCGUCCCAUUAGCUGGUUGGUGAGGUAACGGACCACCAAGGGGACGAUGGGUAGCCGGCCGGGGAGGGUGAACGGCGACAUUGGAACGGAGAUACGGUCCGAAGUCUACGGGAGGCAGCAGGGGUGAAUAGUGCACAAUGGAGUGAAGGCUGAUUUAGCGAGGCCGCGUUAACCCAGAAGGCUUGAGAGUCGUACAGUUGUGUUAUAUGGGGAGCGGGACCAUAAGAAAAAGCCCCGGCUAACUACGUGCCAGCAGCCGCGGUAAUUC